rnacentral:sRNA from 1 species
CUCAAAUUUUUGAAUAUAAUUCCGACUAGUAUGCUAAGAAUAAUAUUAAUUUUAAAAUAUUUCAAGAGGGCAUUUGCAUAAAUGUAAACAUGAUGAAAUUCGACCGUUGGCAUAAGGG